GAUGAACGCUGGCGGCGUGCCUAAUACAUGCAAGUCGAGCGAACAGACGAGGAGCUUGUUCCGUUGACGUUAGCGGCGGACGGGUGAGUAACGCGUGGAUAACCUACUUAUAAGUCUGGGAUAAUUUCGGAAAACCGGAGCUAAUACCGGAUAAUAUAUUGAACCGCAUGGUUCAAUAGUGAAUGACGGCUUUGCUGUCUCUUAUAGCUGGUUCCGCGCCGCAUGAUCUGGUUGGUAAGGUAACGGCUUACCAAGGCAACGAUGCGUAGCCGACGUGAUGGGGGGAUCGGCCCCUGUGAAAGUGAGAGACGGCCCAGACACCUAGGGAAGGGAGCGGUAGGGACUCUUGCGAACAGGGCGAAAGCCUGACGAAGCAACGCCGCGGGGGUGAUGAAGCUCUUCGGGUCGUAAAACUGUGUUAUGAGGGAAAAACAAAUGUGUAUGUAACUAUGCGCGUCUGAAGGGUACCUAAGAAGAAGGCCCGGCUAAAUUCCGG
rnacentral:rRNA from 1 species